UACAGACUAGAACAUUUCAACGGACAGAACAUUGUUCGCGAACAUGUUUGCAACCAAUGUGGACGGGAAAACGAACAUUUCCCCGUAACAAAAAAUGUUCGGUUGUUUGUUCGGUUGCGAUCCGAUAUUUGUCGGUUUUUGCCCGUCACAUCAAAGGAUGUUCGCCGUGGCUCGGAUAACAGUCUGGACGUCGCUGCGAACACUUCCUGCGAACAUUCAGUUGUCGACGUGGAGCGGUGUUGUCUUCACGGAGUUAGUAGCGGUGCGUGACUCUUUUGUUAUAUGAGAAUGGAGUGGUCCAAGGAAGAUCAAAUAAAACUGAUAGAUUUGUAUAAACAACAAACAGUGAUAUGGGACCCAAACAAUGUUAAUCAUUUCAACAAAAUUAGAAAACAAGACGCGUGGGAAGAAAUCGGGGCCGAAAUGGACAGAGAUGUGGACGAAUGUAAGAAGAAAAUGGAGAGUUUGCUAUCAGCAUUAAGAAGGGAGAGGAAGAAAAUGAAAGACACUGCUGGAACUGGAAAAGGAACUGACGAAAUGUACAGAAGUUCCUGGUUCGCUUUCGAAAGUCUACGUUUCUUGCUGGACAAAAAUAAACCAAGAAAGACAAUUUCGACGAUGCGAGUAGAAAGCGAAGAGAGAGACGUAGAAUGUGGUGCAGUUGGAGAAUCAGCACAGGAAACUGUACCGAAAAAGAAGAAGCAGCGAGUCGAAGAUGCACGUCUGGACAAAGCCUUUCAUAUAUUGUCGUCCACCGCGAGUCAGCUUAACGAUGAGUGCCAACAUUUUGGAAAUUUGGUCGCAUCUAAGUUGAGACAGUACAACGUUGAUACUAGAUGUACAAUUGAAAAUGACAUUAUGGGUAUUUUCCUUCGCGCUAACAGGGGUUUCUACAAUAACACUCAGAAUUUUAUACAACCACACUAUCCAUGUCAUUUUCCAUCGGACAACUCUGUCAUGCAGUCAAACACUGUAUUGUCCAACCCUACAACCCCGUGUCCUUCAGCAGGAUCACCUACCUUGACGUCUGAUGAUGAUGAUUUCAUUAUUCACGAUCUCUUAUAAAAUAUUUUUGUUUUAAUUACAGUGCUCCUAAUGAUUUGUAACACAGUGUAAACAACUUUGUCAUUUCUUAUAAAUAAAUGUAGAAAAUUACGUUAAUAAAUCUUUCAAUUACACAGUACCGCAGAAUAAGUCAAUACUUACCUUAAUGUAAUCCUCAAGUCCUUCGAUGAGAGCAGAACACACUUCAGGAAUAACUGUGCUGAUAGUCUGUUUUGAAAUUUUAAAUACAUACUGAAGGCUGGUAUACGAAUCACCAGUUGCUAAAAAACGUAAUGUCAAUGCCAGUCUUUCUGUAAUUGGAAUUGCUUUUCUGAACGACGUAUCUCUCUUACCAAUUUUCGCUCCUAUCAAAUUGAUCAACCACUCAAAAUCUGAUGGGUGCAUUCUUGUAAAGUUCUUGUAAAGACCACUGACUGACUGAAAACUUAAGUCUGCCAACAAGUUCGAGCCACUAUAUGUUGUCCUACUUUCAUACAGUUUUGUAAUCCACCAACGGCGAGAUUUCCUUCGCUUUUUAACCGCAUAGUGAAUGUAAAUAUAUACAGCUGCUGCUACUUGCGCCUGUGUACUCAUCGUGCCACUGCUAAGUACGGAAUGGGUCACAGGGAACACACCUCGAACAAUGUUCGCAAACAAUGUUCUUUCGAAAUCUGAACACUGUUCGUAAAAUGUGUCGAACACUGUUCGCUGUUCUGUUCGCUAAAAUGUUCUAGUCUGUAC